UACAGAGGUCCCAAGCGUUGUUCGGAUUCACUGGGCGUAAAGGGUGCGUAGGUGGUGAGGUAAGUCGGAUGUGAAAGCUCCGAGCUCAACUCGGAAAUGGCAUUGGAAACUACCUUGCUCGAGGGUUUGAGGGGGGACUGGAAUACUUGGUGUAGCAGUGAAAUGCGUAGAUAUCUGGAGGAACACCGGUGGCGAAGGCGGCAUCCUGGACCAAUAUUGACGCUGAGGAGCGAAAGCCAGGGGAGCAAACGGG
rnacentral:rRNA from 1 species